rnacentral:rRNA from 1 species
UCCCAGAGGAGAUCACCCAUGCUAGAGCACUUUUUCAAUGGGCUCCCCAACGACAAGACGACGACACAUUCGUAUGUCAUACAUAUCAACUUUCAAUGCCAUUUACUGUGCCUACCAUAGUGACAAUGGGUAACGGGGAAUCAGGGUUCAAUUCCGGAGAGGGAGCCUGAAAAACGGCUACCACAUGCAAGGAAGGCAGCAGAUGUGCAAAUGGCCCACUCCCGACGCGGGAAGGUAGUGACGA